AGAUACUUAAGUUAAAUAAAACUAUUUGAUUUCAAAUCAAAUUAUAAUUGUGUGAUUAGUAUUUG
rnacentral:tRNA from 1 species